rnacentral:rRNA from 1 species
GACGAACGCUGGCGGCGUGCCUAAUACAUGCAAGUCGGGCGGAAGUUGGAGAGCUUGCUCUUCAACUUUAGCGGCGGACGGGUGAGUAACACGUGGGCAACCUGCCCUGCAGAUCGGGAUAACUCCGGGAAACCGGUGCUAAUACCGAAUAGUUUUCGCCACCUCCUGGUGGCGUACGGAAAGACGGUUUCGGCUGUCACUGCAGGAUGGGCCCGCGGCGCAUUAGCUAGUUGGUGGGGUAACGGCCCACCAAGGCAACGAUGCGUAGCCGACCUGAGAGGGUGAUCGGCCACACUGGGACUGAGACACGGCCCAGACUCCUACGGGAGGCAGCAGUAGGGAAUCUUCCGCAAUGGACGAAAGUCUGACGGAGCAACGCCGCGUGAGUGACGAAGGUUUUCGGAUCGUAAAACUCUGUUGUGAGGGAAGAACAAGUACCACUUAACUACUGGUACCUUGACGGUACCUCACCAGAAAGCCACGGCUAACUACGUGCCAGCCGCCGCGGUAA